GAGGUGUUAGUAAACUAAUUACAUAGUCUUGUCAAGACUAAAUAACGGGCGAAACCCCCGUAUACCUCU
rnacentral:tRNA from 1 species